AACCUGCGGAGGGAUCAUUAC
rnacentral:rRNA from 1 species